CCUACGGGAGCCAGCAGUGAGGAAUAUUGGUCAAUGGACGAGAGUCUGAACCAGCCAAGUAGCGUGAAGGAUGACUGCCCUAUGGGUUGUAAACUUCUUUUAUAUGGGAAUAAAACGUUCAACGUGUGGGAUUUUUUAUUUACCAUAUGAAUAAGGAUCGGCUAACUCCGUUCCAGCAACCGCGGUAAUACGGAGGGACCGAGCGUUAUCAGGAUUUGUUGGGUUUAAAGGGAGGGUAGGUGGAUUGUUAAGUCAGUUUGUAAAGUUUGCGGCGCAACCGUAAAAUUGCAGUUGAAACUGGCAGUCUUGAGUACAGUAGAGGGGGGCGGAAUUCGUGGUGUAGCGGUGAAAUGCUUAGAUAUCACGAAGAACUCCGAUUGCGAAGGCAGUUCACUGGACUGCAACUGACACUGAGGCUCGAAAGUGUGGGUAUCAAACAGGAUUAGAUACCCCGUGUAGUC
rnacentral:rRNA from 1 species